GACGAACGCUGGCGGCGUGCUUAACACAUGCAAGUCGUACGGUAAGGCCCUUUCGGGGGUACACGAGUGGCGAACGGGCGAGUAACACGUGAGUAACCUGCCCACCACUUUGGGAUAACGCUAGGAAACUGGUGCUAAUACUGGAUAUGUACUCCUGCUGCAUGGUGGGGGGUGGAAAGCUCCGGCGGUUGUGGAUGGACUCGCGGCCUAUCAGCUUGUUGGUGGGGGAGUGGCCUACCAAGGCGGCGACGGGUAGGCGGCCUGAGAGGGUGAACGGCCAACAUGGGGCCUGGAAUCGGGCCCGAACCCCUCGGGGGGCAGGAGGGGGGGAUUUUGCAAAAUGGGGCCGAGCCCGAUGCAGCAACGGCGCGGGCCGGAUGACCGCCUUCGGGUUGUAAAACGCUUUCAGCAGGGAAGAAGCUUUUUGUGACGGUACCUGCAGAAGAAGCACCGGCUAACUACGUG
rnacentral:rRNA from 1 species